UAGGGAAUCUUCCGCAAUGGGCGAAAGCCUGACGGCGCAACGCCGCGUGAGUGAUUAAGGUCUUCGGAUCGUAAAACUCUGUUAUUAGGGAAGAACAAAUGUGUAAGUAACUAUGCACGUCUUGACGGUACCUAAUCAGAAAGCCACGGCUAACUACGUGCCAGCAGCCGCGGUAAUACGUAGGUGGCAAGCGUUAUCCGGAAUUAUUGGGCGUAAAGCGCGCGUAGGCGGUUUUUUAAGUCUGAUGUGAAAGCCCACGGCUCAACCGGGGAGGGUCAGUGGAAACUGGAAAACUAGAGUGCAGAAGAGGAAAGUGGAAUUCCAUGUGUAGCAGUAAAAUGCGCAGAGAGAUGGAGGAACACCAGUGGCGAAGGCGACUUUCUGGUCUGUAACUGACGCUGAUGUGCGAAGGCGUGGGGAUCAAACAGG
rnacentral:rRNA from 1 species